UCUUUUUUCCGUAAGAAUAAGAAGGAAUGUGUAGAACGAUGCAUUCAUGAUUGUGAUACAAGGACUGUGAUCUGCAGAGCUGCAAUUCUGAGUUCAUUUCUUGCAGUCAUGUUAAUAAUUUGAUUCAGUUAAUAGUCCUUUGAAAUUUCCACUGGCAAUAGUUUCAUUGCUGGUAACGUAAUUUUGGAACCUUGUCUUCAAGAGAGACCCAAGAAACUGCAGCAUUAGUAUUCUAGAAGCCAUUUCUAUUUAAACAAUGGUUUAGAGAAUUUUAGUGGCUAUUCCUAUGUGUUUUAUUAUGCUGGUUUAAUUGUUCUAGUGAGUUUAAAUUGGGUUAUAUGUUAUUUUUAUUCUGUUAGCUGUCUUCCUUUUUAUUUGAAAAACAAAUGCAAAAUAUACACACCCUCACCCAGCUUCCUUUAAACAUUUUCUUCCCCCACGUUUACAGGACAUUGAUCACAAUUUAAUUUUAGUGAGUAUCUAAAUAUAUCUAUUCAUGUUAAGGGCAGCACAGACCCAUGAAGGCACUUCCUAAUCAAACCCAUUCUGGUGUUUAACUUCUAUUCUCUUUAACACUCCAAUAGAAGUAAGUUUUACUACAGACCCAGCAUGUAACUGGAAACACACAGGCAUGAGCGGAAUGGGAAAGCACAACCCCUCUAUAUCAGCAAAGUAAAAGAACAAACACACUUGGCAUUUUUACCGCAGCAUGGGCUGGAUCUGAAAGCACAGCAUGAAAUCAAAACAUGGGGAAUGAAAAUUUCACAAUGUCUAUCCAUGUGGGAGCAGCAGUAAGAUUUGGGUCAUUGAAAGUCCACGUAUCUAUGGGGAAAAUAAUCUAAAGACAACAUGAAAAGACUUUGGAAAACCUUUCUGCACUCUCUCUCUCUCUCGACUGAUCGGAGAGAGGGGAAAUUGUCACCGUGCAGCAUAUUUUUCAAACUCUCGUUCUACAAUAUACCGAGAACUGCUGGUCUACAUAAAAUUGUCCCUAAUGGCUAA
rnacentral:lncRNA from 1 species